GGACGAACGCUGGCGGCGUGCCUAAUACAUGCAAGUAGAACGCUGAAGGAGGAGCUUGCUUCUCUGGAUGAGUUGCGAACGGGUGAGUAACGCGUAGGUAACCUGCCUGGUAGCGGGGGAUAACUAUUGGAAACGAUAGCUAAUACCGCAUAAUAUUGACUAUUGCAUGAUAGUCAGUUGAAAGGUGCAACUGCACCACUACCAGAUGGACCUGCGUUGUAUUAGCUAGUUGGUGGGGUAACGGCUCACCAAGGCGACGAUACAUAGCCGACCUGAGAGGGUGAUCGGCCACACUGGGACUGAGACACGGCCCAGACUCCUACGGGAGGCAGCAGUAGGGAAUCUUCGGCAAUGGACGGAAGUCUGACCGAGCAACGCCGCGUGAGUGAAGAAGGUUUUCGGAUCGUAAAGCUCGGUUGUAAGAGAAGAACGAGUGUGAGAGUGGAAAGCUCACACUGUGACGGUAUCUUACCAGAAAGGGACGGCUAACUACGUG
rnacentral:rRNA from 1 species